GCUCCUUUAGCUUAAUUGGUAAAGCUAUCAGCUCAUAACUGAUAAGAUGUAGGUUCGAAUCCUAUAGGGAGCACCA
rnacentral:tRNA from 1 species